rnacentral:lncRNA from 1 species
GAAGGAGACGUGGGGUGAUAUCCUCCGUUAGAUUGGAGGGUUUAGAUCUCGCCUCCAUCAUCAUAUUAACAUUCCUCUUAAUAUCUCCGACAAGAGGCGUGUAAGUAGUUCCGGCGAGACCCUGUCUUCUCAGGUAACUCUCCAGCAUCUUUGGUUUUAUCCAGACCCACUUCACUAAUCGCCAUGUCCACAACAACACAACUGCUAUAACAGCCACUAAAGCUGCUACUACUGAAAAAGACAUCCUCGAUUCUUCUCUCAUUCACUCUGAAUUCCGCAAGUUGAGACCUUUUUUCCUAACAAUGGAGUUUCGAUUGUACAAUUUACAGUGCAGAUCCUUUGCCGCCAAAGGGGCUUUGUCUAUUGUUCUUGUCGUGUAAGGAUUUUUCAACUGUUCUUAUCUAAUUGCAAAUUUUUUAAUCAAUAAAAAUCUUCAAAAGAGAUCCACUAACUUCUAUUUUAUAUAAGUGCUCUCCUCAACGCUUUAAGUGCGUGUGUUUCAGGCGCCGAGAAGUCCACGGAGAACACGCUGCAAGAGUUAAGCAGACUUUAUUUAUGAUACUGGGAGAUCAUGUAUUGGUUAUCUCACAAACACUUCCCUUACUGAAAGUUAGUUUAAUG